rnacentral:ncRNA from 1 species
AAAAAAAGUUGGUGGGAAAGGAUUUCUGGGGUGUACGGGGGGAACCGCAGGUACGGACCAAUGGCACAAUACUUGUUCGAGCGAACAGUGGUAUGACGCUACGUCCGUUUGAUUAUGCCUGAACGCCUCUAAGGUCGUAUCCGUGCUGACUGCAAUGAUAAAUAAGGGGCAAUUUGCAUUGUAUGGCUUCUAAACCAUUAAAAGUUUUUAAUUUGUUUUAUUAACGACAAUGGAUGUGAUGCCAAUGUUAUUUAUAACAUAGUAAAUUGGGAGGAUCUUCGAUCACCUGAUGCCGCGCUAGUUAUAUUUUAAAACAUUAUUUAAUACAAUGUCAAAGCCUAGAAUCAAUUGUAAACGACUUUUGUAACAGGCAAGGUGUUGUAAGUGGUUGAGCAGCUGCCAUACUGCGAUCCACUGAAGCUUAUCCUUUGCUUGAUGAUUCGA